rnacentral:rRNA from 1 species
AGGCUUAACACAUGCAAGUCGAGGGGCAGCAUUUUAGUUUGCUUGCAAACUGAAGAUGGCGACCGGCGCACGGGUGAGUAACACGUAUCCAACCUGCCGAUAACUCCGGAAUAGCCUUUCGAAAGAAAGAUUAAUACCGGAUAGCAUACGAAUAUCGCAUGAUAUUUUUAUUAAAGAAUUUCGGUUAUCGAUGGGGAUGCGUUCCAUUAGUUUGUUGGCGGGGUAACGGCCCACCAAGACUACGAUGGAUAGGGGUUCUGAGAGGAAGGUCCCCCACAUUGGAACUGAGACACGGUCCAAACUCCUACGGGAGGCAGCAGUGAGGAAUAUUGGUCAAUGGGCGAGAGCCUGAACCAGCCAAGUAGCGUGAAGGAUGAAGGCUCUAUGGGUCGUAAACUUCUUUUAUAUGGGAAUAAAGUUUUCCACGUGUGGAAUUUUGUAUGUACCAUAUGAAUAAGGAUCGGCUAACUCCGUGCCAGCAGCCGCGGUAAUACGGAGGAUCCGAGCGUUAUCCGGAUUUAUUGGGUUUAAAGGGAGCGUAGGUGGAUUGUUAAGUCAGUUGUGAAAGUUUGCGGCUCAACCGUAAAAUUGCAGUUGAAACUGGCAGUCUUGAGUACAGUAGAGGUGGGCGGAAUUCGUGGUGUAGCGGUGAAAUGCUUAGAUAUCACGAAGAACUCCGAUUGCGAAGGCAGCU